rnacentral:rRNA from 1 species
GAUGAACGCUGGCGGCGUGCCUAAUACAUGCCAGUCGAGCGAACGGACGAGAAGCUUGCUGCUCUGAUGUUAGCGGCGGACGGGUGAGUAACACGUGGAUAACCUACCUAUAAGACUGGUAUAACUUCGGGAAACCGGAGCUAAUACCGUAUGAUAUUUUGAACCGCAUGGUUCAAAAGUGAAAGACGGUCUUGCUGUCACUUAUAGAUGGAUCCGCGCUGCAUUAGCUAGUUGGUAAGGUAACGGCUUACCAAGGCAACGAUGCAUAGCCGACCUGAGAGGGUGGUCGUCAGCACUGGAACUGAGACAGGGUCCAGUCUCCUGCGGGAAGGAGCAGUAGGGUAUCUUACGCAAUGGGCGAAAACAUGACGGAGCAACGCCGAGUGAGUGAUGACGGUCUUCGGAUCGUAAAAGUCUGUUAUUAGGGAGGAACAUAUGUGUAAGUAACUGUGCACAUCUUGACGGUACCUAAUCAGAAAGCCACGGCUAACUACGUG